GGGUUGUGAGGUUAAGCGAAUAAGCGUACACGGUGGAUGCCUAGGCAAUCAGAGGCGAUGAAGGACGUGCUAAUCUGCGAUAAGCGUCGGUAAGGUGAUAUGAACCGUUAUACCCGACGAUUUCCGAAUGGGGAAACCCAAUAUCCAAUGGAUAUUAUCAUGACGUGAAUACAUAGCGUCAUGAAGCGAACCGGGAGAACUGAAACAUCUCAGUACCCCGAGGAAAAGAAAUCAACCGAGAUUCCCCUAGUAGCGGCGAGCGAACGGGGAACAGCCCAGAGUCUUAAUCAAUAGCAGCAUCAGGAGAACGGUCUGGAAAGUCCGGCAGUAAAGGGUGAUAGCCCCGUAUCCGAAGAUGCUGUUAUUGUGAACUCGACGAGUAGGGCGGGACACGUGUUAUCCUGUCUGAAUAUGGGGGACCAUCCUCCAAGGCUAAAUACUCCUGAUUGACCGAUAGUGAACCAGUACCGUGAGGGAAAGGCGAAAAGAACCCCGGCGAGGGGAGUGAAAAAGAACCUGAAACCGUGUACGUACAAGCAGUAGGAGCCUCUUUAUGGGGUGACUGCGUACCUUUUGUAUAAUGGGUCAGCGACUUAUAUUCUGUAGCAAGGUUAACCGUAUAGGGGAGCCGUAGGGAAACCGAGUCUUAACUGGGCGAAUGAGUUGCAGGGUAUAGACCCGAAACCCGGUGAUCUAUCCAUGGGCAGGUUGAAGGUUGGGUAACACUAACUGGAGGACCGAACCGACUAAUGUUGAAAAAUUAGCGGAUGACUUGUGGAUGGGGGUGAAAGGCCAAUCAAACCGGGAGAUAGCUGGUUCUCCCCGAAAGCUAUUUAGGUAGCGCCUCGUGAACUCAUCUUCGGGGGUAGAGCACUGUUUCGACUAGGGGGUCAUCCCGACUUACCAACUCGAUGCAAACUGCGAAUACCGAAGAAUGUUAUCACGGGAGACACACGGCGGGUGCUAACGUCCGUCGUGAAGAGGGAAACAACCCAGACCGCCAGCUAAGGUCCCAAAGUCAUGGUUAAGUGGGAAACGAAGUGGGAAGGCUCAGACAGCCAGGAUGUUGGCUUAGAAGCAGCCAUCAUUUAAAGAAAGCGUAAUAGCUCACUGGUCGAGUCGGCCCGCGCGGAAGAUGUAACGGGGCUAAACCAUGCACCGAAGCUGCGGCAGCGACACUAUGUGUUGUUGGGUAGGGGAGCGUUCUGUAAGCCUGUGAAGGUGUACUGUGAGGUAUGCUGGAGGUAUCAGAAGUGCGAAUGCUGACAUAAGUAACGAUAAUGCGGGUGAAAAACCCGCACGCCGGAAGACCAAGGGUUCCUGUCCAACGUUAAUCGGGGCAGGGUGAGUCGACCCCUAAGGCGAGGCUGAAAAGCGUAGUCGAUGGGAAACGGGUUAAUAUUCCCGUACUGGUGGUAACUGCGAUGGGGGAACGGAGAAGGCUAGGUUGUCCGGGCGACGGUCGUCCCGGUUCAAGCAUGUAGGCAGAGUGAUUAGGCAAAUCCGGUCACUUAAUGCUGAGGUGUGAUGACGAACCACUAAGGUGGUGAAGCAAUUGAUGCCCUGCUUCCAGGAAAAGCCUCUAAGCUUCAGGUUACCAACAAUCGUACCCCAAACCGACACAGGUGGUCAGGUAGAGAAUACUCAGGCGCUUGAGAGAACUCGGGUGAAGGAACUAGGCAAAAUGGUGCCGUAACUUCGGGAGAAGGCACGCUGGCGGUAAGUGAAGUCCCUCGCGGACGGAGCCGAAGCCAGUCGAAGAUACCAGCUGGCUGCAACUGUUUAUUAAAAACACAGCACUGUGCAAACACGAAAGUGGACGUAUACGGUGUGACGCCUGCCCGGUGCUGGAAGGUUAAUUGAUGGGGUUAUCCUUAGGGAGAAGCUCUUGAUCGAAGCCCCAGUAAACGGCGGCCGUAACUAUAACGGUCCUAAGGUAGCGAAAUUCCUUGUCGGGUAAGUUCCGACCUGCACGAAUGGCGUAAUGAUGGCCAGGCUGUCUCCACCCGAGACUCAGUGAAAUUGAACUCGCUGUGAAGAUGCAGUGUACCCGCGGCAAGACGGAAAGACCCCGUGAACCUUUACUAUAGCUUGACACUGAACAUUGAGCCUUGAUGUGUAGGAUAGGUGGGAGACUAUGAAGUGUGGACGCCAGUCUGCAUGGAGUCAACCUUGAAAUACCACCCUUUAACGUUUGAUGUUCUAACCUAGGCCCGUAAUCCGGGUCGGGGACCGUGUCUGGUGGGUAGUUUGACUGGGGCGGUCUCCUCCUAAAGAGUAACGGAGGAGCACGAAGGUUGGCUAAGCAUGGUCGGACAUCAUGCGGUUAGUGCAAAGGCAUAAGCCAGCUUGACUGUGAGAGUGACGGCUCGAGCAGGUACGAAAGUAGGUCUUAGUGAUCCGGUGGUUCUGAAUGGAAGGGCCAUCGCUCAACGGAUAAAAGGUACUCCGGGGAUAACAGGCUGAUACCGCCCAAGAGUUCAUAUCGACGGCGGUGUUUGGCACCUCGAUGUCGGCUCAUCACAUCCUGGGGCUGAAGUAGGUCCCAAGGGUAUGGCUGUUCGCCAUUUAAAGUGGUACGCGAGCUGGGUUUAGAACGUCGUGAGACAGUUCGGUCCCUAUCUGCCGUGGGCGUUGGAAGAUUGAGAGGGGUUGCUCCUAGUACGAGAGGACCGGAGUGAACGCACCACUGGUGUUCGGGUUGUCAUGCCAAUGGCAUUGCCCGGUAGCUAAGUGCGGAAGAGAUAACCGCUGAAAGCAUCUAAGCGGGAAACUUGCCUCGAGAUGAGUCUUCCCUGUCACCUUGAGUGACCUAAAGGAACGUUUAAGACUAAGACGUUGAUAGGCUGGGUGUGUAAGCGUAGCGAUACGUUGAGCUAACCAGUACUAAUGAACCGUGAGGCUUAACCUGACAACACCGAAGGUGUUU
rnacentral:rRNA from 1 species